rnacentral:sRNA from 1 species
GUCCAGUUCUGGCAGGUGUGUGGACCCAGGCACUGGGAAGACUCAGCGAGCCACUGGAAGAUCCUCAUCUUCAGAGUUUGCCCCACACCCUUCUAACUUGUCCCCUGUUUGUUGUUUGUCAUGAAGGCUGAGGACACUGAGCUCCAGGUGAAAACAUGUUCCUUUUUCCUUUAGUGAAGACCGAGGCAGUUUCAGGGGAUUGUCCCCUCCAGGGUCUGCUAAACUGUCUGAAGGAGCUCCCUGAGGCCCAGGACAGGCAUCCCAGUCCCUCAGGAGUGGCGAACCGACGGCUACAGGAGAAUCCAGGGGUCUGGAAAAAGGGUUCUGGAGGGCCUGGACACCUCCUGACCCCUCCUCCCCGUCCUGGUCUUGGAGCUGGCGGUCUGCUCUCUGUGAAGAUGGAGAACAGCUGGGUCCAGAGCCCCCCAGGACCUGCAUCCUGUCAGCCUGGCAGGCAGCCCCUCAGUCCCUCAGCCACUGGAGACACCAGAGGGAUCCCCCAACCCAGCUGGGGCCCUGAGGCUCAAGCUGCCAGUGCCUCAAGCUCACCACUAGAAGCCCUGGAAGCCUGUCUGAAGGGCAUUCCCCCAAAUGGGUCAUCACCUUCCCAGCUGCCACCCACUUCUUGUUCCCAGAACCCCCAGCGAGGAGACUC